GGGGSAKCUUAMCAUGCAGUCGAGCGGUAAGGCCCUUCGGGGUACACGAGCGGCGAACGGGUGAGUAACACGUGAGCAAUCUGCCCUUCUCUUUGGAAUAACCAUUGGAAACGAUGGCUAAUGCCGAAUAUGAACCCCCUUCGCAUGUUGGGGGUUGGAAAGCUCCGGCGGAGAAGGAUGAGCUCGCGGCCUAUCAGCUUGUUGGUGAGGUAAUGGCUCACCAAGGCAUUGACGGGUAGCCGGCCUGAGAGGGUGACCGGCCACACUGGGACUGAGACACGGCCCAGACUCCUACGGGAGGCAGCAGUGGGGAAUAUUGGACAAUGGGCGAAAGCCUGAUCCAGCAACGCCGCGUGAGGGAUGACGGCCUUCGGGUUGUAAACCUCUUUCAGCAGGGACGAAGCGAGAGUGACGGUACCUGCAGAAGAAGGACCGGCCAACUACGUGCCAGCCGCCCSGGGUAAUACAA
rnacentral:rRNA from 1 species